rnacentral:misc_RNA from 1 species
GAAAUGCGAUAAGUAAUGUGAAUUGCAGAAUUCAGUGAAUCAUCGAAUCUUUGAACGCACAUUGCGCCCAUUAGUAUUCUAGUGGGCAUGCCUAUUCGAGCGUCAUUUCAACCCUUAAGCCUCAGUUGCUUAGUAUUGGGACUCUACGACCUAUUAUAGCGUAGUUCCUUAAAGGUAGUGGCGGAGUUAUAGCACACUCUAAGCGUAGUAAUUCUCUCUCGCUUCUUGUAGUGGUUAUAGUUGCUAGCCAUAAAACACCCCCUAUUUUAAUGGUUGACCUCGGAUUAGGUAGGAAUACCCGCUGAACUUAA